rnacentral:rRNA from 1 species
UCAAGUUACUAAGGGUUAACGGCGGAUGCCUUGGCUGAUGGCUGCGAUGAAGGACGUGGUAAGCUGCGAAAAGUCUCGGGGAGUUGCACGCGAAUUUUGAUCCGAGAAUGUCCGAAUGGGGAAACCCACUUUAGUGAAAGCUAAAGUAUCUUGGUGCUGAAUACAUAGGCACCUUGAAGCGAACCUAGGGAAGUGAACCAUCUCAGUACCUAGAGGAAAAGAAAACAAUAGUGAUUCCGGCAGUAGCGGCGAGCGAAAUCGGAACAGCCCAAACCAUUAACGUGUAAGCGGCAGGCGUUGCGUUAGUGGUGUCGUGGGACCUACCGUUGGAACUGCCUUCCAACAUAGAGUUACAAAAUGAUGUGUUAGUCGAACAGUCUGGAAAGUCUGGCGAAACAGGGUGAUAGCCCCGUAAGCGAAAACAUAUUGUCUCUAGUAGCGUUCCCAAGUACAGCGGGACACGAGAAAUCUUGCUGGAAUUCACCGCGACCAUGCGGUAAGGCUAAAUAAGACCAUCAGACCGAUAGUGAACCAGUACCGUGAGGGAAAGGCGAAAAGAACCCCGAUGAGGGGAGUGAAAUAGAACCUGAAACCGUUAAUCUACAAGCAGUGGAAGCUCUAUGGUUUACCAGAGCAACCGCGUGCCUUUUGCAUAAUGAGCCGGCUAGUUAUUUUCAGUGGCAAGGCGAAGUCGAUAAGACGAAGCCGCAGGGAAACCGAGUCUGAAUAGGGCGCCAGUCGCUGGAAAUAGACGCGAAACGGGAUGAUCUAUCCUUGACCAGGAUGAAGUUCGGGUAACACCGAAUGGAGGUCCGAACCAGUGUGGGUUGAAAACCGCUUGGAUGAGUUGAGGAUAGGGGUGAAAGGCCAAUCAAAUUCCGUGAUAGCUCGUUCUCCCCGAAAUAGCUUUAGGGCUAGCGUCGGAUGAUUCGUCGUGGAGGUAGAGAACUGAAUGGACUAGGGGGCUUACCAGCUUACUGAAUCCAACCAAUCUUCGAAUACCACGCCGACCAGUCCGGCAGUCAGACUGCGGGUGAUAAGAUCCGUAGUCGAGAGGGAAAGAACCCAGAUCGCCAGCUAAGGUCCCAAAAUCGAUACUAAGUGGAAAAGGUUGUGAAUGUGCUUUGACAGCCAGGAGGUUAGCUUAGAAGCAGCUAUCCUUUAAAGAAAGCGUAAUAGCUCACUGGUCAAGCGGGUUCGCGCCGACAAUUCAACGGGGCUAAGUAUCGUACCGAAGCUGCGAACGAAAGUGGUAGGGGAGCAUUCCCUAAGUCUGUGAAGGUUAACCGCGAGGAUAGCUGGAGACAUGGGAAGAGACUCUGUCGGCAUAAGUAGCGUAAAGACGGGCGAGAACCCCGUCCACCGUAAGACUAAGGUUUCCAACGCAAGGUCAAUCCGCGUUGGGUUAGUCGGACCCUAAGCCGAGGCCGAAAGGCGUAGGCGAUGGAAGGCUGGUUAAUAUUCCAGCACUAUGAAUAGUUCGUUACCAGCAAUGCGGGGACACAGAAAGGUAGUCAUGUACGGCUAUGGAAUGUCGUGCGCAAGGCUUCAAGGACGUGACCUAGGUAAGUCCGGGUCACACAAGUCUAAGUUGUCUAACGAAAAAUGAUGAUCCUACGCUGUCGAGAAAAGCCGCUAGCGAGAAUUAUUUGUAUCCGUACCGCAAACCGACACAGGUAGUCGAGGAGAAAAUCCUAAGGUGUUUGAGUGAUGUCUGUUGAAGGAACUCGGCAAAUUAACCCCGUAACUUCGGGAGAAGGGGUACCACGGUAGGGUUCAUAGCCCGAGGUGGUGACACAAAAUUGUCCCAGGCGACUGUUUAACAAAAACACAGGUCUCUGCAAACUCCUAAGAGGAGGUAUAGGGGCUGACGCCUGCCCGGUGCCGGAAGGUCAAGAGGAGCGGUUAGCCGCAAGGCAAAGCUGCAAAUUUAAGCCCCGGUGAACGGCGGCCGUAACUAUAACGGUCCUAAGGUAGCGAAAUUCCUUGUCGGGUAAGUUCCGACCUGCACGAAUGGCGUAACGAUCUGGGAACUGUCUCCAACAGACGCUCAGCGAACUUGUAGCACCGGUGAAGAUGCCGGUUACCCGCACUUAGACGAAAAGACCCCGUGCACCUUUACUACACCUUGAUAUUGAGGUUGGCAUUGAACCGUGCAGGAUAGGUGGGAGACUUUGAUACCGGAUCGUUAGGUUCGGUGGAGUCGUCGGUGAGAUACCACCCUGUGCAAUGCUGAUCUCUAACUCGCAUCCAUUAUCUGGAUGGAAGACAAUGUCAGGCGGGUAGUUUGACUGGGGCGGUCGCCUCCUAAAGAGUAACGGAGGCGUACAAAGGUUCCCUCAGGUUGUUUGGAAAUCAACCGCAGAGCGCAAUAGUAUAAGGGAGCUUGACUGCGAGACAUACAAGUCGAGCAGGUACGAAAGUAGGUUAUAGUGAUCCGGUGGUCCCGUAUGGAAGGGCCAUCGCUCAACGGAUAAAAGGUACGCCGGGGAUAACAGGCUGAUCUUGCCCAAGAGUUCAUAUCGACGGCAAGGUUUGGCACCUCGAUGUCGACUCAUCGCAUCCUGGGGCUGAAGCAGGUCCCAAGGGUUCGGCUGUUCGCCGAUCAAUAGCGGUACGUGAGUUGGGUUCAGAACGUCGCGAGACAGUUCGGUCUCUAUCUAGUGUGGGCGUAGGAAAUUUGCGAGGACCUGUCCUUAGUACGAGAGGACCGGGAUGGACGAACCUCUGGUGUUCCAGUUGUGUUUCCAAAUGCAAUGCUGGGUAGCUAUGUUCGGAAGUGAGAAGCGCUGAAAGCAUCUAAGCGCGAAACACCCCUCAAGAUUAGAUUUCCCCAUAGGCUCGUGGAAGACUACCACGUUGAUAGGUCGCAUGUGUACGCACAGUGAUGUGCUCAGCUAAGCGAUACUAAUGGCCAAUUGGCUUGACGUU